rnacentral:rRNA from 1 species
AGUCCUAGGGGGGCAGCAGUGGGGAAUAUUGCACAAUGGGGGAAACCCUGAUGCGGCGACGCCGCGUGAGUGAAGAAGUAUUUCGGUAUGUAAAGCUCUAUCAGCAGGAACGAGACAAGACGGUACCUGACUAAGAAGCCCCGGCUAACUACGUGCCAGCAGCCGCGGUAAUACGUAGGGGGCAAGCGUUAUCCGGAUUUACUGGGUGUAAAGGGAGCGCAGACGGCAGUGCAAAUCUGGAGUGAAAGCCCGGGGCCCAACCCCGGAACUGCUCUG